GGCCUCCCAGCCUACAUCUAUCUCUCAUGCUGGAUGCUUCUUGACCUCAAACAUCAGACUUCAAGUUCUUCAGCUUUGGACUCGGACUGGCUUCCUUGAUCCUCACCUUGCAGACUGCCUAUUGUGGAACCUUGUGAUCGUUGGAAAUGGAUGGCAGAGGAUACUGUUUCUGGGAGAGCAUUACUUGUCUUGGAUGGCUGAAAUGCCUUGGCCAGUGGAAGUCACUCGACUCUUGGCUGGAUGCCUCAGCAGCACUCUAUGAGCCGUGCAAUAACCUCUCCGAAAUGCACUGCUACUCCUGUCUUAUUGCUUAAUUAAUCCACUUCUAAUUGAUAUGGCCAUGCAUUACCAUGGCUGCCUCCCUGCUGUGAGAGCCCAUAAAAACAUAUUUGGCUUUUUUAACAGGACUUUUGAAACAAUGUCAAGAACAUGAACUUCUAAAUGACAUCAUACUUUGUCAAGAAAUGUGAGUCCCAUGACUUUGGCCAAAUAUUAUCCUGAUAGUUAAUAGAAAUGUACAGGUCCACUGAAAGCAUUAUUGUAUUUCAAAGGAUUUAUAUUGUAGGGAGGUGGGGAAAGAGGAGAUGAAGGGAGGACAGAAGCUAUUUGGAGAAUGGGCUCUGAUAGUGCCUUUUCUACUCUUCCUUAGUAAGUGCCCAUCUUUUUUAUUUAUUUUUUUUUUAGAGUCAAAGUCUCUUUCUGUCACCCAGGCUGGAGUGCAGUGGCAUGAUUACAGCUCACUGCAGCCUUGAACUCCUAGGCUCAAGCGAUCCUCCAGCCUCAGCCUCCCAAGUAGCUGGAACUACAGGCGUACAUCACCAUGCACAGCUAAUGUUUUAUAUUUUAGAUAUGGGGUCUUGCUGUCUUGCCCAGGCUGGUCUCAAACUCCUGGCCUUAAGCAAUCCUCCCAUGUCAUCCUCUCAAAGUGUUGGGAUUACAGGCAUGAGCCACUGCAGCCAGCCAGUAGAUGUCCCUUAUUAUUCCUUCUUCUUAGUCAUAUUAUAAUCACCAAAAAAGCCUGGUAAGUACCUAACUGAGCAGUAUGCGGUGUGAAGCACUGUCCUGAAAGACGAGUUAUUUCUCUGUCAGUCAAUUCAAGAUGUUUGUUACACACAACUCUAAAAACAGACUGAUAAGAGUUUAAAUCCCAACUCUGUCACUUCCAAAUUACCUAACCUCUCUGGUACCCAAUUCUCCUUUUUGCAAAUUUGACACUCAGACAUUUUCUUAAAAAUCACACAUAAGCGAGGGUUGGGAACAAGCCUUUGCAAAAUUAUGUAUAAUCAGAAUCAUCUUUAGAAACCCUGAAAAGCAACAUUGUCUCUAUAAACCUAUCCCUCCACAGUAAAAUCCUCAGGCACAUUCAAGUUUAAGAUCUACAAAAGAAGAGUCUAGAUCAAGGGUCAACAAACUAUGGCCUGUGGGCCAAAUUCAACCCACCACCUGUUUUUGUAAAUGGUUUUAUUGGCAUAUAGACCCCCUCAUUUACGUAUUUCAUACGGCUGCUUUCCCACCACCACAGCAUGCAACAGAGGCCAUAUGGCCCUCAAAGCCUAAAAUAUUUUCUAUCUGGCCUUUUACUGAAAAAGUUUGCUGCCUCAUGGUCUAGAUGCAGAUGUCUGUCUAUUGUGCUUCCUUGCCCUUUAAGAUGCCUAUCAAAUCCC
rnacentral:lncRNA from 10 species